ensembl:lncRNA novel transcript, antisense to CRYBG3
CUGUUAACUGACGCUGCAGGCCCAGCAACUGCUCCAGUCUCUGCUUCCACGAGAUUGUCAAAUUGGGCAGCAGUUGGGAAAUCAAUGGAUAUCUUCCCAGUAUAAAUCCCAAAAUGUUCCUGAAAUGGGGUUACUUCUGUCCCAAUUGAGACAGACGUUUCAAAUUCCAAAUAAGAGGUAGUAGGGUACAACAGCACAGAAGGUACUUUAAGGAAGCUUGAGUCCUCAGAUGCAGAAGAAUUUUUUUCCAAACUGGAAUCAGAAUCCAGAAAAGGCUGAUAGGAAAUACCAACAAUGUUGACAUUCCCAGUUUCAAUGGGCACAGGAGAACCCUCAUUCAUUAAAUCAGGAAUAUCCAACUUGCUCAGCAUCCCAACUCCAGAAACAAAGAAUCCCUAUAAGUUUACUAAAGACAAUGACAAUUUCUCCAUGUUGGUCAGGCUGGUCUCAAACUCUCGACCUCAGGUGAUCUGCCUGCCUCGGCCUCCCAAAGUGCUGAGAUUAGAGGGUUUUCUAUAAACAUACUGCCUAAGACUGUAAAUGAAAACGAGACAGCACCUUGAGGACAAAAUGCACUUCAGUCAAAAUGAACGUUUUUGGAUCUGAUUUUACAACUAUGUAAAUUAAAAAGGUUCAGACCAGCUGA